AUCCAGGGCUGGUGCUGAGGGGCAUGGACAUGAGUGGUGUGUUCCAGGGUCUUGCCAUUCCUUGCUUCCUCACCUUUGAAGUAAGGAUAUGACUGAAAAGUGUUUCCGUAGGAAAAACGUUCAUCCUGAACUGGAAACCAAUUCCAACUAUAUUUUUAUGUGAUGAAAAAUGAAGGAGAUGAGCAUUACUUCAGUGUUGUAUUUUUAGAGCAACACUUGCAAGUUACUUGAUUAGUAUCAAAAGGCUCUGAUUCCCACAUAACCUUUGGAUAAACAAGUUGUGAUACUGUUGGCAACAUGCUAAGAGGUAUUCCUGCUCUGCUCCAGCUGGCACUGGUCAUGUGACAAUAAAAUAUAAGCAGUGGCCCACCAGGAGGAAUUCUAGAAAGGCUGGCAUCUCAGCUUCCCUUCCAGCCUAGAAUGCGAAAGUGAAAUCUGGAUGUGAUUGCAGUCCUCUUGCAACCAUGAAGUGAGGAACAUGAAAGUAAUAGCCAGCACCCUAGGGCCCCUGACAGAAUUGUUCAGCAGGUGAAGCAAGGCCAACAACUGCUUGCUGCCAGAUGCCAUGCAGAACCACACGUUGGGUCUUUCUUUUUCUGUCUUUUGAAGAACAAAGAAGAUUCUUAAGAGCUUUGUAUCAGACAAAGAAUUAAGUCAUACAAUGGAAAAUAAAAGUGGAUAAUUUUGAAAAAGGAAACAUGAAUACUAAUGGAAAAUUGAGGCCGGCUGGGUUUUUUUUUAACACUUAAGUAUUAAGUGUGGAGCCACAAAUAGAAGAGAAACCCAUCUUACAACAUAACCAUGUGCUUGCCUUAAGAGGAAAAUGAAGAUCAAAGGGUUUCCCAGAGUCUAG